rnacentral:rRNA from 1 species
AGGCUUUGAUCCUGGCUCAGGAUGAACGCUGGCGGCGUGCCUAACACAUGCAAGUCGAGCGAAGUUUAACAGAAGCUUGCUUCAGUUAAACUUAGCGGCGGACGGGUGAGUAACGCGUGGGCAACCUGCCCUGUGCAGAGGGAUAACAACGGGAAACCGUUGCUAAUACCGCAUAAAGCCUUUAAGGGGCAUCCCUUUAAGGUCAAAGAAAUUCGGCACAGGAUGGGCCCGCGUCUGAUUAGUUAGUUGGUGGGGUAAAGGCCUACCAAGACGAUGAUCAGUAGCCGACCUGAGAGGGUGAUCGGCCACACUGGAACUGAGACACGGUCCAGACUCCUACGGGAGGCAGCAGUGGGGAAUAUUGGACAAUGGGCGCAAGCCUGAUCCAGCAAUGCCGCGUGUGUGAAGAAGGCCUGCGGGUUGUAAAGCACUUUCAGUGGGGAAGAAAAGCCGCCGGCUAAUACCCGGCAGUCCUGACAUUACCCUACAGAAGAAGCACCGGCUA